ACACUGCUGAGGAGUCCCAUAAUAGGACGAAAUGGCCGUCCAGUGC
rfam:Schistosoma rodhaini strain Burundi genome assembly, scaffold: SROB_scaffold0002660